rnacentral:rRNA from 1 species
UGAACGCUGGCGGCAGGCCUAACACAUGCACAUCGAACGGUAACAGGAAGCAGCUUGCUGCUUUGCUGACGAGUGGCGGACGGGUGAGUAAUGUCUGGGAAACUGCCUGAUGGAGGGGGAUAACUACUGGAAACGGUAGCUAAUACCGCAUAACGUCGCAAGACCAAAGAGGGGGACCUUCGGGCCUCUUGCCAUCGGAUGUGCCCAGAUGGGAUUAGCUAGUAGGUGGGGUAACGGCUCACCUAGGCGACGAUCCCUAGCUGGUCUGAGAGGAUGACCAGCCACACUGGAACUGAGACACGGUCCAGACUCCUACGGGAGGCAGCAGUGGGGAAUAUUGCACGAUGGGCGCAAGCCUGAUGCAGCCAUGCCGCGUGUAUGAAGAAGGCCUUCGGGUUGUAAAGUACUUUCAGCGGGGAGGAAGGGAGUAAAGUUAAUACCUUUGCUCAUUGACGGUACCCGCAGAAGAAGCACCGGCUAACUCCGUG